GUGCCUAUGGUGUAAUGGUUAGCACUUGGGCUUGUGGAGCCCACAGAGAGGGUUCGAAUCCCUCUAGGCACC
rnacentral:tRNA from 1 species